GAAUGUUCUAAGGAGAGAAAAAGAACAAGAAGGGGGGGAAAGCUUGCUCUUUUCCAGAAAGUCAAAUGUGUAUGGGGGAGUAGAGCUUGGAGAGCAGAGGAGAGAGUACAGGAGAUAAGAGGGGCGGGGAAGGUCAGGGCCAGAUGCCACUAGCUUUUACAAGCGAAGGUGAGACAGUCGAACGUUACUCUGGUACAGCAGGAGAUCUGCAGAGUCCCAAACAGAGGAGAGACACACUGCAUCUUAAUUUCUUGGAAGAUGGUUCGAGCUGCUGUGAACCAUGAUGUCAGGUCACCUUGUUACGGAAGCUCAAGACUUGACUCUGCCGCAAUGUUCAAAUGUCUGGAUGCACAAACAAAAAGUAUUCUGGAGAAUCAGUUCUGAUGUUCGAGAGCAUCGAAAAACAUCUCAAGGGGUGAGCCUUCUCAUUCCUUUCCUGCAUUCCCCAGUAUAACAGCUGGAGGAAAUUUGGACUGGGUUCCAGACCCUGGAGGGGCAAUUUUAGCUCAAAUUGCUUGGAGCUACCUACAGCAUAAUUAUUGUUCUCCGCUGCCUGUGGCAAUCCCCGGGCACCACGGGCAUCCAGACCCAGUGCACAGCGCUUCUCGUGAUCCCACACGCUCUGAACGGCACAAGCUGUGUGUGACUUAACUAGAUUUCCAGUGUCUUCUGAGCCCAGCAGCCGCUCCAGUCAGAACAUGUUAAAUCUCAUUUCUGUCGAUGGGAAUCUACACGUUGCAACUGUAACCUGCCACAGAGCCCGAAGUACCCCUUGAGGAUGACCCCCGUUGCACAACCCUACUGUUCUCUUUAACCAACAUGUGGAACCUGCACAUUUUCAUUGGGAAAAAAAACAACAACAAAAGCUGGGGCUUUGUUUCAUGGAGAGAAAAUACCCAGAACCAGCUGAGCACUAUUUAGCUGCCAUGCUCAUGUCCCAGCUCCUUUCAACCCAUUGAAAAAAAUAAUAAUAAUUAACCAAUUCAUUGAAAUUCUUCUUAAUAAAUGGUAGCUUUGUUACCA
rnacentral:lncRNA from 1 species